rnacentral:rRNA from 14 species
CUCGUGUUGUGAAAUGUUGGGUUAAGUCCCGUAACGAGCGCAACCCUUGUCCUUAUUUGCCAGCACUUCGGGUGGGAACUUUAAGGAGACUGCCGGUGACAAACCGGAGGAAGGUGGGGACGACGUCAAGUCAUCAUGGCCCUUACGGCCAGGGCUACACACGUGCUACAAUGGAGAGUACAGAGGGUCGCUACACAGCAAUGUGAUGCCAAUCUCAAAAAGCUCUUCUCAGUUCGGAUUGGGGUCUGCAACUCGACCCCAUGAAGGUGGAAUCGCU